rnacentral:rRNA from 1 species
UACGUAGGGGGCGAGCGUUAUCCGGAUUUACUGGGUGUAAAGGGAGCGCAGGCGGCCUGGCAAGCCUGAUGUGAAAUACCGGGGCCCAACCCCGGGGCUGCAUUGGGAACUGCCAGGCUGGAGUGCCGGAGAGGCAGGCGGAAUUCCUAGUGUAGCGGUGAAAUGCGUAGAUAUUAGGAGGAACACCAGUGGCGAAGGCGGCCUGCUGGACGGUGACUGACGCUGAGGCUCGAAAGCGUGGGGAGCAAACAGG